rnacentral:rRNA from 1 species
CCUACGGGGUGCAGCAGUGGGGUAUAUUCGACAAUGGGCGAAAGCCUGAUCCAGCAAUGCCGCGUGUGUGAAGAAGGUCUUCGGAUUGUAAAGCACUUUCGACGGGGACGAUGAUGACGGUACCCGUAGAAGAAGCCCCGGCUAACUUCGUGCCAGCAGCCGCGGUAAUACGAAGGGGGCUAGCGUUGCUCGGAAUGACUGGGCGCAAAGGGCGCGUAGGCGGUUUAUGCAGUCAGAUGUGAAAUCCCCGGGCCUAACCUGGGAACUGCAUUUGAGACGCAUAGACUAGAGGUCGAGAGAGGGUCGUGGAAUUCCCAGUGUAGAGGUGAAAUUCGUAGAUAUUGGGAAGAACACCGGUGGCGAAGGCGGCAACCUGGCUCGAUACUGACGCUGAGGCGCGAAAGCUAGGGGAGCGAAUGGGAUUAGAUACCCUAGUAGUC